rnacentral:rRNA from 1 species
CCUACGGGGGGCUGCAGUGGGGAAUAUUGGACAAUGGGGGCAACCCUGAUCCAGCCAUGCCGCGUGUGUGAAGAAGGCCCUCGGGUUGUAAAGCACUUUCAGUGAGGAAGAACGCCUGGUGGUUAAUACCCAUCAGGAAAGACAUCACUCACAGAAGAAGCACCGGCUAACUCCGUGCCAGCAGCCGCGGUAAUACGGAGGGUGCGAGCGUUAAUCGGAAUUACUGGGCGUAAAGCGCGCGUAGGUGGCUUGAUAAGCCGGUUGUGAAAGCCCCGGGCUCAACCUGGGAACGGCAUCCGGAACUGUCAAGCUAGAGUGCAGGAGAGGAAGGUAGAAUUCCCGGUGUAGCGGUGAAAUGCGUAGAGCUCGGGAGGAAUACCAGUGGCGAAGGCGGCCUUCUGGACUGACACUGACACUGAGGUGCGAAAGCGUGGGUAGCAAACAGGAUUAGAUACCCCAGUAGUC